GGAAAAUUAUACAAAUUGAACGCUAUUUAUUAGCAUAUGACUCUUUAAAUGCCACUUCUGGUUGAGGAAUACUUCAAGUACUAGCAUUUUUGUGUAUUUUGUUAUAGUGGGAUAGCAUUAACAUUAUAAUAGCAUAGUGAACAUCAGUGCGUAGUUAUAUUUUGCUGUUAUUAAACGUGCAACAUUAUACACCUAACCAUAUUUCAGGAAGAUAUUGGCCGGUUUAGAAACACCUAACUACUCAAGUGAUUACUUGUUGACCACUCUUUUAAGAUUUAACAUUGUUUUUAACAUUGUUAAUAACUAGUAGAGUGGUUACUUAUUAAUCCCGACUGCCUCUUGUUGCUGAAUACCCUAGCUCCGACCGUUUCAACUGUUUAUCUUGGGGGAGAAACGGUUCUUCUUCUGAAGGUUUUUCUCUUGGUCUCGUUGCUGGUGGAUUAUUCGAUGGAAACAUUGAUAUCUGGAAUCCUCUCACUCUGAUUCGCUCGGAGGAAAAUGAAAGUUCUCUCGUUGGACACCUUGUAAUGCAUAAGGGACCAGUUUGUGAACUUGAGUUUAAUACAAUUGAACCCAAUCUUCUUGCAUCUGGGGCUGAGGAUGGUGAAAUUUGCAUAUGGGAUUUGGCCAAUCCUUCAGAGCCUACACAUUUUCCACCAUUAAAGGGUAGUGGCUCUGCUUCCCACGGGGAAGUUUCAUUCUUAUCUUGGAAUAGUGAAGUGCAACACAUAUUAGCAUACACUUCAUAUAAUGGGACCACUAGUGAGGAAGCGAUUAAAUUCAACCUUUAUAUUUUGUUCUCAUUGUUGUAUUGUUCAUUGGGAUGAUAAUGUUUUUGUUUAUUUUUUAAAAUAUGGUUUUAGUCUCCGGUGGUUUGGGACCUGAAGAAGCAAAUGCCAGUAAUAAGAUAACUCGAUCAUCUGUUGCCUUUUGGUUUUGAAAACACCUGAUAUUAUAUUGCCAAAAAGAACUCACUGUAACCUUGUAUAUCCUAUUUGAACCGACAGCUUUUCAGACUCUGUUAGACGGCGGUGCUCAGCUUUGUAGUUGAAUCCUGAUGUUGCUACACAACUUGUUUCAUCAGAUGAAGAUGGAUAUCCUUCUAUAAGGGUAUAGUCUCUGCGGAUUGUCCGUUUAUUUUAAAGGUAAUGUGUCGGUGUAUUCACUUUAUAUGACCAUGUUGGUGCAGCUUUGGAAUAUGAUAUGAGGAAUAUAAUGACACCGAUAAAGGAGUUUGUGUGGCACACUAGAGGUAAAGUCAGCCAUUCAUUUAUUUAUGAUUUAUUGUAUUAUGUGUCUGCCUAGUUGACAUUAUCUAUGCUACCUUUUCUUUUUGUUAUAUUCUUAUUCCGCUCCACGAAUCCAUUGAAAAAACAUAUGGGAAACAAACGAGUAAUU